rnacentral:lncRNA from 1 species
UUUAGAUUUAUUAUUAGAAUGCACAUUUUGCAAAAAGCAAAUAAACUAAUUCAUCGAUCAAAAAAGCUGCAAAUUAAAAGAAAAAUUGUAAGUCUCAAUAUUACUUCUCAAGGCCCUUGCCGGCACGCCGCCUUUAGUUCCACCACAUCCGCUUCCAUCACCUUCCCUUCCGCCACUCCAUCGCCAUCCACGUCAACAUCCACAUCACUCUCACUAGUAGAGUCAUCAUCAAUGGCCACCGCUCCUACUUCCUCAUCAGGAGCUACCACCGUCUCCUUAAUCUUCUGCCCUGUCUCCUUCACCGCCCCCCACGCCCCUUUCACUGUGCCCUUUGCCGUCUCCGCCGC